UUGACAUCCAGAGAACUUAGCAGAGAUGCUUUGGUGCCUUCGGGAACUCUGAGACAGGUGCUGCAUGGCUGUCGUCAGCUCGUGUUGUGAAAUGUUGGGUUAAGUCCGCAACGAGCGCAACCCUUAUCCUUUGUUGCCAGCGGUUCGGCCGGGAACUCAAAGGAGACUGCCGGUGAUAAACCGGAGGAAGGUGGGGAUGACGUCAAGUCAUCAUGGCCCUUACGGCCAGGGCUACACACGUGCUACAAUGGCGCAUACAAAGAGAAGCGACCUCGCGAGAGCAAGCGGACCUCAUAAAGUGCGUCGUAGUCCGGAUUGGAGUCUGCAACUCGACUCCAUGAAGUCGGAAUCGCUAGUAAUCGUAGACCAGAAUGCUACGGUGAAUACGUUCCCGGGCCUUGUACACACCGCCCGUCACACCAUGGGAGUGGGUUGCAAAAGAAGUAGGUAGCUUAACCUUCGGGAGGGCGCUUACCACUUUGUGAUUCAUGACUGGGGUGAAGUCGUAACAAGGUAAGCGUAGUGCU
rnacentral:rRNA from 1 species